GCUUCCCGACGGUCGCAGAGAUGUGACCUUCUCUUCGGAGCCUGGAACACAGGUGCUGCAUGGCUGUCGUCAGCUCGUGUCGUGAGAUGUUGGGUUAAGUCCCGCAACGAGCGCAACCCCCGUCCUUAGUUGCUACCAUUUAGUUGAGCACCUAAGGAGACUGCCGGUGAUAAGCCGCGAGGAAGGUGGGGAUGACGUCAAGUCCUCAUGGCCCUUACGGGCUGGGCUACACACGUGCUACAAUGGCGGUGACAAUGGGAUGCGAAGGGGUAACCCCUAGCAAAUCUCAAAAAGCCGUCUCAGUUCGGAUUGGGCUCUGCAACUCGAGCCCAUGAAGUUGGAAUCGCUAGUAAUCGUGGAUCAGCACGCCACGGUGAAUACGUUCCCGGGUUGCACCCACACCCGA
rnacentral:rRNA from 1 species